AACGCUUGCCCCCUACGUAUUACCGCGGCUGCUGGCACGUAGUUAGCCGGCGCUUCUUCUGCAGGUACCGUCACUUUCUCUUCUUCCCUGCUAAAUUAAGUUUACAACCCGAAGGCCGUCUUCCCUCACGCGGCGGGGCUGCAUCAGGCUUGC
rnacentral:rRNA from 1 species